ACUUGAUCUCAAAUCAGGCAGGACUACCCGCUGAACUUAAGCAUAUC
rnacentral:rRNA from 2 species